CACUUUGUCUUUAUGGCAAAUGUGAGAUGCAGUGUAUGGAAUGUCAAAUUUCUAGUAUGAGAAAUUAACGAUUUAAGUCCUUCUUAAAUGAGGCCAUUUACCCAUAGAGGGUGCCAGGCCCGUAUAACGUUAAUGAUUACUAGAUGGCAUUUCCAAAGAGUCGUGUUGCUUGAUAGUGCAGCACUAAGUGGGUGGUAAACUCCAUCUAAAACUAAAUAUAACCAUGAGACCGAUAGUAAACAAGUACCGUGAGGGAAAGUUGAAAAGAACUCUGAAUAGAGAGUUAAAUAGUACGUGAAACUGCUUAGAGGUUAAGCCCGAUGAACCUGAAUAUCCAUUAUAGAAAAUUCAUCACUAUGAUUUUAAUAUUUACAAAUAUUAUAACAAAAGUGUGCAUUUUUUCUGUAGAGGACAUUGUAAUCUAUUGACAUAAACUAAAUUUAUCAUAAGAUCAAUUUGCGUAAGUUUAUUCAAAUUAUUUUGCUUGCAAUUUAACAUAGAAUAAAUGCUCUUGAUUUGAUAAAGUGUUGAUAGAUUUAUUAUAUAUAGUGCUUGAAUAUUUUUAUAUUCUAUAAUAGCAUAUAAAUUAUUAAUUUUUAUGUUUAUUAUAUGCACUUAUAUGAUUAACAAUGCGAAAGAUUCAGGAUACCUUCGGGACCCGUCUUGAAACACGGACCAAGGAGUCUAACAUAUUUGCAAGUUAUUGGGAAUAAAAACCUAAUAGCGUAAUUAACAUAACUUAAAAUUAAUUGGGAUUAGUUUUUAGCCUAUUUAUAGUCUAUUAAUUCAAUCCCGGGGCGUUCUAUACAGUUAUGUAUAAUAAUAUUUAUAUUAUUUAUACCUCUAACUAGAGCGUACCUUGAGCAUAUAUGCUGUGACCCGAAAGAUGGUGAACUAUACUUGAUCAGGUUGAAGUCAGGGGAAACCCUGAUGGAAGACCGAAACAGUUCUGACGUGCAAAUCGAUUGUCAGAAUUGAGCUAUAGGGGC
rnacentral:rRNA from 1 species